GGCAAAUUUCAAUUGAGAUUGAGAAUUUAAAUCUUACCCACUACAGCUUAGACUUGUUAGUCCCACUACAAGUACAAGAAAAGAGCAUGAAGGGCAAAAAUAAAAUUAAGGGCAACGUUAAAAUUGGAAAAGAGUUCAGUUCCCUUCAAACAGGGACCAAAUCUAUCAAUGGACAAUGGUUGCCAAGGCAAAUCUAAGAUACACAAAAUUUCAGGAUUGUAUUUGUGGGCUGUCUGAACAGGGAAAAUUUUUUGCCAUUUGUUGAUUUGCCAUAGACAGAGACUUCAGAGAAGAAAAACCAUGGCUG
rnacentral:misc_RNA from 1 species